GUGUCCUACGGGGCGCAGCAGUGGGGAAUAUUGCGCAAUGGGCGAAAGCCUGACGGAGCGACGCCGCGUGAGGGAUGAAGGUCUUCGGAUCGUAAACCUCUGUCAGCAGGGAAGAACGGUCACUGUGCUAAUCAGCAGUGAAUUGACGGUACCUGCAAAGGAAGCACCGGCUAACUCCGUGCCAGCAGCCGCGGGAAUACGGAGGGUGCGAGCGUUAAUCGGAAUUACUGGGCGUACAGCGCUCGUAGGCGGUGUGUCAAGUCAAGGGUGAAAUCCCCGCGCUCAACGGGGGAACGGCCUUUGAG
rnacentral:rRNA from 1 species